AUUGAACGCUGGCGGCAUGCCUUACACAUGCAAGUCGAACGGCAGCACGGGGGCAACCCUGGUGGCGAGUGGCGAACGGGUGAGUAAUACAUCGGAACGUGCCCAGUAGUGGGGGAUAGCCCGGCGAAAGCCGGAUUAAUACCGCAUACGACCUACGGGUGAAAGCGGGGGAUCGCAAGACCUCGCGCUAUCGGAGCGGC
rnacentral:rRNA from 1 species